AAGUGGUUGGACUCCUUUUAGAUUAGAGACAAUUGAAACAAUUUAGAUUGGCACAACCCUACUGUGCUAACCGAACCAGAUAACGGUACAGUAGGGGUAAAUUCUCCGCAUUCGGUGCG
rfam:Coxsackievirus B3 (CB3) replicase gene, compete coding sequence.